GACGAACGCUGGCGGCGUGCCUAAUACAUGCAAGUAGAACGCUGAAGGAGGAGCUUGCUCUUCUGGAUGAGUUGCGAACGGGUGAGUAACGCGUAGGUAACCUGCCUGUUAGCGGGGGAUAACUAUUGGAAACGAUAGCUAAUACCGCAUAAGAGUAGAUGUUGCAUGACAUUUACUUAAAAGGUGCAAUUGCAUCACUACCAGAUGGACCUGCGUUGUAUUAGCUAGUUGGUGGGGUAACGGCUUACCAAGGCGACGAUACAUAGCCGACCUGAGAGGGGGAUCGGCCACACUGGGACUGAGACACGGCCCAGACUCCUACGGGAGGCAGCAGGAGGGAAUCUUCGGCAAUGGACGGAAGUCUGACCGAGCAACGCCGCGUGAGUGAAGAAGGUUUUCGGAUCGUAAAGCUCUGUUGUAAGAGAAGAACGAGUGUGAGAGUGGAAAGUUCACACUGUGACGGUAUCUUACCAGAAAGGGACGGCUAACUACGUG
rnacentral:rRNA from 1 species